rnacentral:misc_RNA from 1 species
CCGAGUUUACAACUCCCAAACCCCUGUGAACAUACCACUUGUUGCCUCGGCGGAUCAGCCCGCUCCCGGUAAAACGGGACGGCCCGCCAGAGGACCCCUAAACUCUGUUUCUAUAUGUAACUUCUGAGUAAAACAUACAAUAAAUCA